rnacentral:rRNA from 1 species
AGCUUGAAGUUAUAUUUUAAGUAACUUCUGCCCAGCGUAUAAUAUUAGCGGCCGCAGUACCUUGACUGUGCUAAGGUAGCAUAAUCAAUUGGCUUUUAAUUGAAGUCUGGAAUGAACGGGAAAAUAGGGGAAAAACUGUCUCAGAAGAAAUUAUUUGAAAUUAUUUAGUAAGUGAAAAUACUUACACUCAGAAAAAAGACGAGAAGACCCUUAGAAUUUUUAUUAAUAAAUUUAAUUAUAUAAGUUUUAUAUUUUAGUUGGGGCGACUUUGAACCAUUUAAACGUUUGUUAAAAUACUCAACAUUAAGAUUUAAAGGAGCAAAUUACCUUAGGGAUAACAGCAUAAUUUUUUAUAAAGUUUGUGACCUCGAUGUUGGACUAGGAACUUAAUGACUAACCGUCAAUAUAGAUUGUUCUGUUCGAACAGAAACUCU